rnacentral:rRNA from 1 species
AUUGAACGCUGGCGGCAGGCCUAACACAUGCAAGUCGAACGAGUGGCGGACGGGUGAAUAAUGGCGGGGAAACUGCCUGAUGGAGGGGGAUAACUAGGGGAAACGGUAGCUACUACCGCAUACCAUCAGAUGUGCCCAGAUGGGAUUAGCUAGUUGGUGAGGUAACGGCUCACCAAGGCGACGAGCCCUAGCUGGUCUGAGAGGAUGACCGGCAACACUGGAACUGAGACACGGUCCAGACUCCUACGGGAGGCAGCAGUGGUGAAUAUUGCACAAUGGGCGAAAGCCUGAUGCAGCCAUGCCGCGUGUAUGAAGAAGGCCUUCGGGUUGUAAAGUACUUUCAGCGGGGAGGCGUUACCCGCAGAAGAAGCACCGGCUAACUACGUGCCAGCAGCCGCGGUAAUAC